UACGAAGGGUGCGAGCGUUGUUCGGAAUGAUUGGGCGUAAAGAGUUCGUAGGCGGGAGAACAAGUCAGUGGUAAAAGGCAUCAGCUCAACUGAUGUAUAGCCAUUGAAACUAUUUUUCUUGAGGCUGAAAGAGGGUGGUGGAAUUGCUGGUGUAGGAGUGACAUCCGUAGAGAUCAGCAGGAACGCCAGAGGCGAAAGCGGCCACCUGGUUCAGAACUGACGCUGAGGAACGAAAGCGUGGGGAGCAAAC
rnacentral:rRNA from 1 species